UCUGACCCUUCUUUACCUAUGGAUAGCGGCGACCCUCUCUCUCUCUCUCUUCUUUCUCGAUGCAUCGAGUCUCCUUCCCUCUUUCCCAGAUAAAAAAAAACCCAAAAAAGUCAGAAAAAAAUGAGAAGCAGCGAGAGUCGAGGAAAGAGAGAUGACCUUCCGGCUGUCUAAGAUCGGCGUCAGAAAAGAGAGGAAGAAGAGAGAGGCAGCAAGAGAAGAGAAGAGGAGAGAGAUGGGGUCGAAUAACCAGACUGCCCAAUGAAUCUGCGUAGGCAUAUAUGGACGGGGAGAUAUGAAGCUCAUUUAUGGAACAAAGGGUCUUGGAAUCCAACACAAAGGAAGAAGGGAAAACAGGGGCUUAUGACGAAGAAGAAUCCACAACAAAAGCAUAUGAGUUGGCAGCACUCAAGUAGUGGGGAACAUCAACUUUUACAAAUUUUCUGGUGUCGGAUUAUGAGAAUGAAAUUGAUCUGUUGAACACUAACAAAAAGAAGAGUACUUGGCCUUUCUAAGAAGCUAAUUAUUCAUCUUCAAAUUAACAAGCAGUUGAGCAGCCUACCUAACUGUUGUAAAAAUUUCAAGAGAUGAAUUUGAUCUAUCUAUUUACUAAUUAUUUGAUA